rnacentral:rRNA from 1 species
GAUCCUGGCUCAGGAUGAACGCUAGCUACAGGCUUAACACAUGCAAGUUGAACGGGAUUUGUAUGGUGCUUGCACCAUGUAAUGAGAGUAGCGCACUGGUGAGUAACACGUGGGGACAUACCUUGAAGUGGGGGACAACAGUUGGAAACGACUGCUAAUACCGCAUAAUCCCUGAGGGGGAAAGAUUUAUCGCUUUAAGAUUGGCCCGCGGAAGAUUAGGUAGUUGGUGGGGUAAAGGCCUACCAAGCCG